GCACCAGAGGGAUUGCUCAGUCAGUAGAGAACGAGACACUUAAUCUCAAGGUCGUGGGUUCGAGCCCUACAUUGGGCA